rnacentral:rRNA from 1 species
GGACCCGCACAAGCGGUGGAGCGUGAUCUUUAAUUCGAUGGUAAACGAUAAACCUUACCAAGGUUUGACAUCCGAGGAAGGCUCUCGAAAGAGAACUGUGCCUUCGGGAACCUCGAGACAGGUGAUGCAUGGCCGUCGUCAGCUCGUGUCGUGAGAUGUUAGGUUAAGUCCUUCAACGAGCGCAACCCUUGCAACUAGUUGUAUUUUUCUAGUUGGACUGCCCCGGUAACGGGGAGGAAGGAGGGGAUGAUGUCAGGUCAGUAUUUCCCUUACACCUUGGGCAAGAAUCGCGCUACAAUGGCCGGUACAAUGCGAAGCGAAGCAGUGAUGUGAAGCAAAAUCGCACCAAAGCCGGUCCCAGUUCGGAUAGGAGGCUGAAACUCGCCUCCUUGAAGUCGGAAAUCGCUAGUAAAUCGCAGAUCAGCAUGUUG